GGGAUGUCAAAAUGGGUAACUCAA
rnacentral:siRNA from 1 species